UACGUAGGGGGCAAGCGUUGUCCGGAUUCAUUGGGCGUAAAGCGCGGGCAGGCGGCCCGUUAAGUCGGCCGUGAAAGCGCCGGGCUCAACUCGGCGAGGACGGGCGAGACUGACGGGCUCGAGGUUGGCAGAGGGCGGUGGAAUUCCGGGUGUAGUGGUGGAAUGCGUAGAGCUCCGGAGGAACACCAGUGGCGAAGGCGGCCGCCUGGGCCAAUACUGACGCUGAGGAGCGAAAGCGUGGGGAGCGAACAGG
rnacentral:rRNA from 1 species